rnacentral:rRNA from 1 species
GAUGAACGCUGGCGGCGUGCUUAACACAUGCAAGUCGAACGGAAAGGCCCAAGCUUGCUUGGGUACUCGAGUGGCGAACGGGUGAGUAACACGUGGGUGAUCUGCCCUGCACUUCGGGAUAAGCCUGGGAAACUGGGUCUAAUACCGGAUAGGACGAUGGUUUGGAUGCCAUUGUGGAAAGUUUUUUCGGUGUGGGAUGAGCUCGCGGCCUAUCAGCUUGUUGGUGGGGUAAUGGCCUACCAAGGCGUCGACGGGUAGCCGGCCUGAGAGGGUGUACGGCCACAUUGGGCCUGAGAUACGGCCCAGACUCCUACGGGAGGCAGCAGUGGGGAAUAUUGCACAAUGGGCGCAAGCCUGAUGCAGCGACGCCGCGUGGGGGAUGACGGCCUUCGGGUUGUAAACUCCUUUCGCUAGGGACGAAGCGUUUUUGUGACGGUACCUGGAGAAGAAGCACCGGCUAACUACGUG